rnacentral:rRNA from 1 species
GACGAACGCUGGCGGCGUGCUUAACACAUGCAAGUCGAACGGAAAGGCCCUGCUUUUGUGGGGUGCUCGAGUGGCGAACGGGUGAGUAACACGUGAGUAACCUGCCCUUGACUUUGGGAUAACUUCAGGAAACUGGGGCUAAUACCGGAUAGGAGCUCCUGCUGCAUGGUGGGGGUUGGAAAGUUUCGGCGGUUGGGGAUGGACUCGCGGCUUAUCAGCUUGUUGGUGGGGUAGUGGCUUACCAAGGCUUUGACGGGUAGCCGGCCUGAGAGGGUGACCGGCCACAUUGGGACUGAGAGACGGCCCAGACUCCGACGGGAGGCAGCAGUGGGGAAUAUUGCACAAUGGGCGGAAGCCGGAUGCAGCAACGCCGCGUGCGGGAGGACGGCCUUCGGGUUGUAAACCGCUUUCGCCUGUGACGAAGCGUGAGUGACGGUAAUGGGUAAAGAAGCACCGGCUAACUACGU